rnacentral:pre_miRNA from 1 species
CUGCACCACAAUUGGCCACCUCCCAAUUGAAACUUAGGGUUUUAGAUGCUCAAAUCUUAGUUUGAAAUGGGAUUUGGCGAAUUGUGGUCGAG